GAUGAAGAACGUAGCGAAAUGCGAUAAGUAAUGCGAAUUGCAGAAUUCAGUGAAUCAUCGAAUCUUUGAACGCACAUUGCGCCCGCUAGUAUUCUGGCGGGCAUGCCUGUCUGAGCGUCAUUUCAACCCUCGCCCCCGGCUUUUGCUGGGAGCGGUGUUGGGGAUCGGCCGCCCGUCACUGGGAGGCCGGCCCCGAAAUAGAGUGGCGACCACGCCGUGUGCUCCUCUGCGUAGUAGUAAAUCACCUCGCAGGCGGACAGCGGUGCGGCCUGCCGUAAAACCCCCAACUCUUUCUGGUUGACCUCAGAUCAGGUAGGAAUACCCGCUGAGCUUAAGCAUAUCAAUAAGCGGAGGA
rnacentral:misc_RNA from 1 species